rnacentral:rRNA from 1 species
GACGAACGCUGGCGGCGUGCCUAACACAUGCAAGUCGAACGAGGUCCAUCCUUCGGGAGAAGACCUAGUGGCGAACGGGUGAGUAACACGUGAAGAACCUGCCCCGAAGACCGGGAUAACCCUCCGAAAGGAGAGCUAAUACCGGAUACCCCCACCGAACCGCAUGGUUUGGUGAGGAAAUGGAUUCCGCUUCGGGAGGGCUUCGCGGCCUAUCAGCUAGUUGGUGGGGUAACGGCCACCAAGGCAUCGACGGGUAGCUGGUCUGAGAGGACGAUCAGCCACACUGGGACUGAGACACGGCCCAGACUCCUACGGGAGGCAGCAGUGGGGAAUCUUGCGCAAUGGGCGAAAGCCUGACGCAGCAACGCCGCGUGGGGGAUGAAGGCUCUCGGGUUGUAAACCCCUUCAGCAGGGACGAAUCAAGACGGUACCUGCAGAAGAAGCCCCGGCUAACUACGUGCCAGCAGCCGCGGUAAU